AUUGAACGCUGGCGGCAGGCCUAACACAUGCAAGUCGAGCGGAACGGCGGACGGGUGAGUGAUGCCUAGGAAUCUGCCUGUUCGUGGUGGAGAACGUCCGGAAACAGACGCUAAUACCACAUACUAUCAGAUGAGCCUAGGGGGGAUUUGCUAGUUGGUGGGGUAAAGGCCUACCAAGGCGACGAUCCGUACCUUGUCUGAGAGGAUGAUCAGUCACACUGGGACUGAGACACGGUCCAGACUCCUACGGGAGGCAGCAGUGGGGAAUAUUGGACAAUGGGCGAAAGCCUGAUCCAGCCAUGCCGCGUGUGUGAAGAAGGUCUUCGGAUUGUAAAGCACUUUAAGUUGGGAGGCGUUACCAACAGAAUAAGCACCGGCUAACUUCGUGCCAGCAGCCGCGGUAAUUC
rnacentral:rRNA from 1 species